CAUGAUUGUUAAAUGAAUCUGGCUUCCCUAUUAACUUUGCUUGUCAGAAGGCGAUUUGCAUGGCACCUGAGACAUUGCAACCGUGAUAACUAUGAGUCAGUUGCCAAGCAUCUGAAUUUUGAUCACAUGACCGUGGAGAUGCAACGAUGCUUUUUAAGUGUGAAAACUAGUGAUAAGUCACCUUUUUCAGUGCUGUUGUAACUUCAAAAGGUCACUAAAUGAACUGUUGUAAGUGAAGGACUCCCCUAUUUCUAAAAUAACUUUAGGUAAGCUGCCAUUUCCCCCAGUUUGGAUUAAAUAGGGCACAAGGCCCAACAUUUCAAAGCCUUUCCUUGCCAUGAUUGGGAUAUUGACUCAAGGUCUCAACUAAUGUAGCAGAUCAGCCUUAGAUAUGUAUCAACUACAAUUAAUCUUGGGUCUGGGAUAAACCAAUUUAAGAAUGCAAGCAGAGGUUGGAAUU